GUCACAGUGUGACAAAUGGCAUGUGGAACUUAUUCCCGCUGAAGCAGUGUUCCCGGGGGAACGCUUUGAGUGUAACUCUGUUCCCAGGCCUGUGUGUGUGUUUGUUGCUGUGACAACCCCAAAUGAUGGAUUGGCAACAGGUGUGGGGGAUUUACUCAGAGUUUGCGUGAGGCCUCAUCAACAGUGGAGAGGAUAAAAAGCAAGAGAGAGAGGUGGUGCGUGUGGUUUUUCUCCCUUGUGAAAAGUCGUUUUAUUGGGUGGUAAUAGUUACUGGAGGACGGGUGAAUGAAGAGGACAGUGUUGCUUGAUGAGGGAUUCGAGAACAACAGCAGGAGAGCGAAUUACCCUGUUUGCAUUGGAGAGGAGCUGAGUAACUGAGAACUGAGUCUUGUAAUUGCACACGUUUGACACUGAAUUGGAUGUGGUUUGGAGUGUUUGGAUCACGAUCAUAAAUAUCACUGAGUGGAUUGUAUUGAUUCAUUACCGAUCUCUUACCUCUCCCUCCUCUAUAAAUGGUGAUGUGAACUCUGCCUGUGACUGUGAAGAAAAACAUCUCAGAACAUCCUCCGUGGCAGUGAGGAUUGCGCCCUCCCCCUUCCCUUCGGACAGAAACCCGAAUGAGAAGAGAUGCCCUGUUAAAAUAUUUACUAUCUGCCUCAGAAAAGCUCUGUGCAACCUGUUGACUUCGAGUCUGCUGUAUUCCUGCCAUUCAACUGUAUGGUGAGAGGUGUUCGCUCCUUCCAAUACAUGUGAAUUGUAUACUUGCCUGAAACAUCCAUUCUGUCUGUCUCAGAAGAAGCCCCAUUCAGCCUGUUGACUUCGAGUCUGCUGUAUCCCUGCCAUUCAACUGUAUGGUGAGAGGUGUUCGCUCCUUCCAAUACAUGUGAAUUGUAUACUUGCCUGAAACAUCCAUUCUGUCUGUCUCAGAAGAAGCCCCAUUCAGCCUGUUGACUUCGAGUCUGCUGUAUCCCUGCCAUUCAACUGUAUGAAGAAGCCCAUAUUCAGCCUGUUGACUUCGAGUCUGCUGUAUCCCUGCCAUUCAACUGUAUGAAGAAGCCCCAUUCAGCCUGUUGACUUCGAGCCUGCUGUAUCCCUGCUACUCAUCUGUAUGAGGAAGCCCCAUUCAGCCUGUUGACUUCGAGUCUGCUGUAUCCCUGCUAUUCAUCCGUAUUGUGAGAAGUGUUCGUUCCUUCCAACGCAUGUGAACUGUAUACUUUGUCUGAAGCAUCCAUUCUGCCUGUUUCAGUAGAAACC